rnacentral:rRNA from 1 species
UACGUAGGGUCCGAGCGUUGUCCGGAAUUAUUGGGCGUAAAGAGCUCGUAGGCGGUUUGUCGCGUCUGCUGUGAAAUCCCGAGGCUCAACCUCGGGCCUGCAGUGGGUACGGGCAGACUGGAGUGCGGUAGGGGAGAAUGGAAUUCCUGGUGUAGCGGUGGAAUGCGCAGAUAUCAGGAGGAACACCGAUGGCGAAGGCAGCUCGCUGGGACGGUACUGACGCUGAGGCGCGAAAGCGUGGGGAGCAAACAGG